GGGCUCGUGGCGGAACGGAAGACGCACGCGCUCGAGGGGCGCGCGCCCGACGGCGUGGGGGUUCGACUCCCCCCGAGCCCA
rnacentral:tRNA from 1 species